UGAAGCGGCGCGAGGUGAUGACGCAGGCGUGCGAGGCGCGUGACGCAACAUUUCAAACGCUGAAACGACGGACAGUUUUCUGGUUUCGCGCGCAGUUUUUCGGGUUAAAAAUCGACGUUUUUCGACUAAAGAGACACGGAGGAGUUAAAAUAUGACGAAGACACGGAGACGGUCUGUCCUGCUGUCCCGCAGAGUCCACUGUCCCGCUCCGCCGGUGUCCAGCAGAGGGCGCCAGGACACCUGCAGCUCACAGAGGACGCCGUCACACCUGAAACCAUCAGCUGACAG